GCUCGGGUGGUGGAAUUGGUAGACACACUCGCUUGAGGUGCGUGUGCCGUAAGGCGUGCAGGUUCGAGUCCUGUCCCGAGCACCA
rnacentral:tRNA from 1 species